UACGAAGGGGGCUAGCGUUGCUCGGAAUCACUGGGCGUAAAGCGCACGUAGGCGGAUUGCUAAGUCAGGGGUGAAAUCCUGGAGCUCAACUCCAGAACUGCCUUUGAUACUGGCGAUCUCGAGUCCGGGAGAGGUGAGUUGGAACUGCGAGUGUAGAGGUGAAAUUCGUAGAUAUUCGCAAGAACACCAGUGGCGAAGGCGGCUCACUGGCCCGGUACUGACGCUGAGGUGCGAAAGCGUGGGGAGC
rnacentral:rRNA from 1 species